GCCAGGUGUGGUGGUGCAUGCCUGUAAUCUCAGCAGCUCCAGAGGCUGAGGCUGGAGAAUCUGCAAGUUCGAGACCAGCCUUAG
rnacentral:sRNA from 1 species